rnacentral:misc_RNA from 1 species
GAUGAAGAACGUAGCGAAAUGCGAUAAGUAAUGUGAAUUGCAGAAUUCAGUGAAUCAUCGAAUCUUUGAACGCACAUUGCGCCCCCUGGUAUUCCGGGGGGCAUGCCUGUUCGAGCGUCAUUUCACCACUCAAGCCUCGCUUGGUAUUGGGCAACGCGGUCCGCCGCGUGCCUCAAAUCGUCCGGCAGGGUCUUCUGUCCCCUAAGCGUUGUGGAAACUAUUCGCUAAAGGGUGUUCGGGAGGCUACGCCGUAAAACAACCCCAUUUCUAAGGUUGACCUCGGAUCAGGUAGGGAUACCCGCUGAACUUAAGCAUAUCAAUAAGCGGAGGA